UGCAGUCGACGAGAUCUUCGGAUCUAGUGGCGCACGGGUGCGUAACGCGUGGGAAUCUGCCCUUGGGUUCGGAAUAACAGUUAGAAAUGACUGCUAAUACCGGAUGAUGACGUAAGUCCAAAGAUUUAUCGCCCAAGGAUGAGCCCGCGUAGGAUUAGCUAGUUGGUGGGGUAAAGGCCCACCAAGGCGACGAUCCUUAGCUGGUCUGAGAGGAUGAUCAGCCACACUGGGACUGAGACACGGCCCAGACUCCUACGGGAGGCAGCAGUGGGGAAUAUUGGACAAUGGGCGAAAGCCUGAUCCAGCAAUGCCGCGUGAGUGAUGAAGGCCUUAGGGUUGUAAAGCUCUUUUACCCGGGAUGAUAAUGACAGUACCGGGAGAAUAAGCUCCGGCUAACUCCGUGCCAGCAGCCGCGGUAAUACGGAGGGAGCUAGCGUUGUUCGGAAUUACUGGGCGUAAAGCGCACGUAGGCGGCUUUGUAAGUUAGAGGUGAAAGCCUGGAGCUCAACUCCAGAAUUGCCUUUAAGACUGCAUCGCUCGAAUCCAGGAGAGGUCAGUGGAAUUCCGAGUGUAGAGGUGAAAUUCGUAGAUAUUCGGAAGAACACCAGUGGCGAAGGCGGCUGACUGGACUGGUAUUGACGCUGAGGUGCGAAAGCGUG
rnacentral:rRNA from 1 species